CAUUCACUUUAUAGCCUUUUUAGUUAUCUUCGGUGCUUUUCAGUUUUCACCGACCCGCUGAUGAGACCUCUCACUCUUGAGUCUCUCUUUAUUUGCUCAACCCUUUCUCAUCUUCCACACCCCAAUAACCUCAAAGAGAAGAAGAGCCUUCAUAUGAAGGAAGGUAAAGCCUUUUCAACGCUCGAAAAGGAUUGGGCAAUAAAGAGCAAAGACUGGUGGUUCAAGUGUUGGAGGGGGUGGAAUAAAGAAUGUUUACUCCUAAGCCAACGUGUUCGUGGAAUCGUGGAAGUUUGAAGAGAACACGUCUAUUUUGGAAUGGAAGGAUUUCGAAAGAAGGUGAUUUAUGCACGCCGCCAAAUACAUGAACAUGUGCUCCAAACUCUGAGGAAGAUGCAUCAAUUGAGGACAGUGGGGAAGAUGCAGAAGAUGCAAAAAAUAUGAAGGUGUCAUCAGAUAAUGAAAGUGACGAAGGUGGUAAUUAUCCAACAGAUUUUGAUAUUAGAACACGGCCAAGGUGCAUAGGAAAAAGUCUCUUUUCUAAGACGGUUGUACCUGUGCAAAGUACCUUCAACGAGGAAAUAGGCAUCCUCCAUGUUGUGGAACACAACAAAAAUUUCAUGUACCUUAUUGUGGCAAUCACUAAUCAAUAUAAAAUGGAGAUGUCAUCAAAUGAUGAAAGUGAUGAAGGUGGUAAUUGUCAAACAGAUUUUGAUAUUAGAACACAACCAAGACGCAUGGGGAAAAGUCCCUCUUCUAAGAUGGUUGUACCUGUGCAAGCACGAAGAUACCCUCAACGAGUAAAUAGGCUUCUUAAUGAGUAAAUAGGCAUCUUUCAUGUUGUGGAACACAACAAAAAUUCAUGUAUCUCAUUGUGGCAAUCACUGAUCAAUGUAAAAUGACUGUCUAUUAAGAAUAUAUUAAAGUAUUAUUGUUGUUUAUGCA